CCUACGGGUGGCAGCAGUGAGGAAUAUUGGUCAAUGGACGAGAGUCUGAACCAGCCAAGUAGCGUGAAGGAUGACUGCCCUAUGGGUUGUAAACUUCUUUUAUAUGGGAAUAAAACGUUCCAAGUGUGGGAUUUUGUAUGUACCAUAUGAAUAAGGAUCGGCUAACUCCGUGCCAGCAGCCGCGGUAAUACGGAGGAUCCGAGCGUUAGCCGGAUUUAUUGGGUUUAAAGGGAGCGUAGGUGGAUUGUUAAGUCAGUUGUGAAAGUUUGCGGCUCAACCGUAAAAUUGCAGUUGAAACUGGCAGUCUUGAGUACAGUAGAGGUGGGCGGAAUUCGUGGUGUAGCGGUGAAAUGCUUAGAUAUCACGAAGAACUCCGAUUGCGAAGGCAGUUCACUGGACUGCAACUGACACUGAGGCUCGAAAGUGUGGGUAUCAAACAGGAUUAGAUACCCGAGUAGUC
rnacentral:rRNA from 1 species